CACUUUCCUCCUGCACAAGGAUGGGUGCUCAGCUGCCCUCCAGCGCCAGCACCCCGAUGAUGGGGGUAUGGCCACCUUCACCCUCUUUCAGGUGACCCCAACUGAUAAUGGCACCUAUAGGUGCUCCUACCUCAUCAAAGGCUACUUCCCUUACUGUCCUCACCCCUUGGGGACAACGUCACUCUGGAGGUGACACCCACAUCUGCACACCCAGGUAGGUGUCAGCUCCCAUUUGCAUGUCCUCAGUGACACCCAUGUGUGGCACUGUCUCUGCAUCCCAUAGCUGUGGGGAUGAUGUUUGGAGAUGGGGACUUCCAUAUCACCCGGACCCCACAGGUGCUGCCGUGGAGUCCCACAGGAACCUGUGGUGGCAGUGGCAGGGGGCUGUGCUGUCGCCUUUGUGUUCAUCCCCCUCCUCAUCAUCUUCUUCCUCCUCACUACCCGCAGAUGCCAGAGGUUGAGAGAUAAGCGCCAUGGUGCACCCCCAGAAGGCCCGAGGCUGUGCAGCUCCAGGCGCCACGCAGUGACAGCGACUGUCUGACCUAUGUUGAGCUGCAAGCGGAGCCCCCGACAACUCGGUGCCCUGGUCCUCCUGCUGACCCCCAACCCCCCACUAUCUACGCUGAUGUGCGCACUGGGAGACCCCACUGAUGUCUCCCAUAUGUGUGGACAUGCACGUGGAUGUUGUGUGCACAGAUGCACUUCAACCGUGCACACUGCUGGUGUGCUGUGUGUGCUUACAACCACGUGUGCAAUACAUGCAUGUACCACUGCAUGUGUUCAUGUGAAUUCCAUGUGUGUACACCAUCACACGUCCUCAAUUAAUGUACACAUGUGUGCUUUGUGCUCUGUGCCUCUGUAUGUGUUUGUGUGCCUCUUACGCGUACACUGAUACAUGUACACAAUAGUGCACACGUGUGUCCUUAUCCUUACCAUGUGCCCUGUGUCUGCACCACAUCUGUCCCCACAGCAAACUCUAAGGAUGCACAUGUGCUCCCCAUGGCACAUCUUCAUUACUCCAACCCAAACCAGCAGCCAUCCCGCAACAUUUCUGGUACAGGACUCCCACUUCUGGAGAGUUCCCCUUCUCCCCCUCCCCCCCAACCCCCCACUCCUGUGGGAGAAAUCCUAUUCUGAAGGGUUUAUUCUUCUUUUUGAAGGCGGAUUCCCAUUUCUGGAAGGUUUUACCCUUCCUCUUCCUCAGGAGGGUUUUAUUCCAUCUUUUCAGGACAAUUCACAGUUCUAGACUAUUUUUCCUGACCUUUGGGCAGGAUUUACCAUUUCAGAAGAUUUUGCCAUCAUUCCCAGCAGAAUUAUUUCUUGUGGAUGCGUUUAUCUGAUCUUUUAAGGAAAAUUCUCUUUCCUGGAAGGUUACAUCCUCCUUUUGAGGUAGGCUUCUUGCUUCUGGGUAGUUUGAUACAGUUCUUAUAGCGUAAAGUUCCCAUUCUAGAGUGUGUGGGGUUGGAGAAAACAUUGAGGGAUCAAAUGGAGUUUUGUUUUUAUUUUUAGUGCUGGAUGAAGGCCUGGGUGCUGAGUGGAGGUCAUGGGGUGAAUGGAGGUUUGGGGGCCAGAGGAAGUUUUGGAGGAUGACCUGGGAUGUUGAGGCUGUAUGUAGAACACUGGAGAUGUAUGCAGAUUUUAGAUGAAGAUGGAGAUCUUGGGUGUUGGUGGAGGGUUUUGUGGUGGAUAAUGAUUUGUAGGGUGGAUGACAAUGAAUGGGGAAGGGAAGGGAAGGCGCGGGAA